rnacentral:rRNA from 1 species
CCUGGCUCAGAUUGAACGCUGGCGGAAUGCUUUACACAUGCAAGUCGAACGGCAGCACGGACUUCGGUCUGGUGGCGAGUGGCGAACGGGUGAGUAACAUAUCGGAACGUAUCCAAUAAUGGGGGAUAACUAAUCGAAAGGUUGGCUAAUACCGCAUACGCCCUGAGGGGGAAAGCUAGGGAUCUUCGGACCUGGCGUUAAUGGAGCGGCCGAUAUCUGAUUAGCUAGUUGGUGAGGUAAAGGCUCACCAAGGCGACGAUCAGUAGCUGGUCUGAGAGGACGACCAGCCACACUGGAACUGAGACACGGUCCAGACUCCUACGGGAGGCAGCAGUGGGGAAUUUUGGACAAUGGGCGCAAGCCUGAUCCAGCCAUUCCGCGUGAGUGAAGAAGGCCUUCGGGUUGUAAAGCUCUUUCGCAAGGGAAGAAAACUUAUCCUCUAACAUAGGAUGAGGUUGACGGUACCUUGAUAAGAAGCACCGGCUAACUACGUGCCAGCAGCCGCGGUAAUACGUAGGGUGCGAGCGUUAAUCGGAAUUACUGGGCGUAAAGCGUGCGCA